CGCCUGCCAAACCACAACCCUGGGCUGGAGAAGGAAUUCAGAACACCACCUCCUCCCAUUCUCAUCUUCUGACAGCCGUGUUGAAGCCUAAUUUUUGAGUUUCAUGAAGACAGAAGGGAGAUGUGAGGGCCUGCGAUGCGUCCCCCUUUAUGUUACAUUUGGUGUAAUGUUUGAGGAGCCCCCACAUGUUAGAGCACAGCUACGAGUUUAUCUCCAAGCUCAACCCUAGCAGGACAUCAGAGUCUGAUCCCUACGCCCUGAGACCACAAGGGAAAUUACCCUACGACCUGAGACAACCAGGGAAUUGAACCUACGGCCUGAGACCACAAGGGAAUUGAACCCUCCAACCGGAGACAACAAGGGAAAUGAACCCUAGCCAGCUAUGAGGGGCGCGAUAGUGAAGUCUUGCGGUAGUAAUGUUUUGACACCAUUACCUGGAGGGUCCUGGAUUCGAUCCCCUAUGACCUCAGCGCUAACCUUUAUCUGGAUUCCCUGUGGCUUUGGAUGAAAGCAUCAACGACCUUUAAAGAUCUCAGACGGUUCAUGGCAGAAUGCCCCAGGGAGAUGGAUUCAGAGAACAAGGGAUCUGAGGUUGGUGCCCACCCUUGAACCUCGGUCCACUGUGUCCCGGUCUGAACCUGACUGAACCGCCCUGGGCCGGUCUGAACCUGACUGAACCGCCCUGGGCCGGUCUGAACCUGACUGAACCGCCCUGGGCCGGUCUUGACCUGACUGAACCGCCCUGGGCCGGUCUGAACCUGACUGAACCGCCCUGGGCCGGUCUGAACCUGACUGAACCGCCCUGGGCCGGUCUAAACCUGACUGAACCUGAUUCUCAGGGCCUUCUCCAUGGGAAUUUGAGCGAGAGUGGACGCAAAGAAGGCUUGAGUGUGUGUGCAUGUAUGUCGUUCGUCUGUAUGCGUGUGUCUGUAUGUGUGUGUGUAUAUGUGUGUGAGUGUCUGUAUGUGUGUGUCUGUAUGUGUGUGUGUGUCUGUGUGUGUGUGCGUGUGUUUUUGUCUGCAUGUGUGUGUGUGAGUCUAUAUGUGUGUCUGUGUCUGUCUGUAUGUGUGGGUGUGUGUCUGUAUGUGUCUGUGCGUGUGUUUCUGUGUGUAUGAGUGUGUGUCUGUACUGUGUGUGUGUGUGUGUUUGUGUGUGUUUUGGUGUAUGUCUGUGUGCGUUUCUGUGUGUGUGUGUCUGUACUAUGUGUGUGUAUGUCUCUGUGUGUGUGUCUGUAUGUGUGCGUGUUUCUGUGUGUGUGUGUAUGUGUCUGUAUGUGUGUGUUUGUGUGUGUGUGUCUGUAUGUGUGUGUGUCUGUGUGUGUCUGUAUGUGUGUGUGUGUCUGUGUGUGUCUGUAUGUGUGUGUGUGUGUGUGUGUGUGUUUCUGUGUGUGUGUCUGUAUGUAUGCGUGUUUCUGUGUGUGUGUAUGU
ensembl:lncRNA